rnacentral:rRNA from 1 species
GUGCCAGCCGCCGCGGUAAGACGUAGGAGGCGAGCGUUAUCCGGAUUCACUGGGCGUAAAGCGCAUGUAGGCGGUUCGAUAAGUCCGUUGUUAAAGCCCCUGGCUCAACUGGGGGAGGUCAAUGGAGACUAUCGGACUUGAGGGCAACAGAGGCACAUGGAACUCCCGGUGUAGCGGUGGAAUGCGUAGAGAUCGGGAAGAACACCCGUGGCGAAGGCGGUGUGCUGGGUUGCAACUGACGCUGAGAUGCGAAAGUGUGGGGAGCAAACGGGAUUAGAUACCCGUGUAGUCC